AGGCCAGUAGCUCUAAUGGCUAGAGCGGCGGAUUCCAAAUCCGUAGGUUGUGGGUUCGAGUCCCUCCUGGCCUGCCA
rnacentral:tRNA from 1 species